rnacentral:rRNA from 1 species
CUUGCUUCUCUUGAGAGCGGCGGACGGGUGAGUAACGCGUAGGAAUCCACCUGGUAGUGGGGGACAACACUCGGAAACGGAUGCUAAUACCGCAUACGCCCUAAGGGGGAAAGGAGGGGAUCUUCGGACCUUUCGCUAUCAGAUGAGCCUGCGUAGGAUUAGCUAGUUGGUAGGGUAAAGGCCUACCAAGGCGACGAUCCUUAGCUGGUCUGAGAGGAUGACCAGCCACACUGGGACUGAGACACGGCCCAGACUCCUACGGGAGGCAGCAGUGGGGAAUAUUGGACAAUGGGGGCAACCCUGAUCCAGCCAUGCCGCGUGUGUGAAGAAGGCCUUCGGGUUGUAAAGCACUUUCAGUGGUGAGGAAAGGGUAGCGGCUAAUACCCGUUACCUGUGACGUUAGCCACAGAAGAAGCACCGGCUAAUUCCGUGUCAGCAGCCGCGGUAAUACGGAAGGUGCGAGCGUUAAUCGGAAUAACUGGGCGUAAAGCGCGCGUAUGUGGUUGAGUCA